rnacentral:rRNA from 1 species
AUACGUAGGUGACAAGCGUUAUCCGGAUUUACUGGGCGUAAAGGGCGUGUAGGCGGUCUUGCAAGUCAGAAGUGAAAUUCCUGAGCUCAACUCGGGCGCUGCUUCUGAAACUGCAGGACUUGAGUGCUGGAGGGGAUAGCGGAAUUCCUAGUGGAGCGGUAAAAUGCGCAGAGAUUAGGAGGAACACCAGUGGCGAAGGCGGCCUGCUGGACGACAACUGACGCUGAGGCGCGAAAGCGUGGGGAGCAAACAGGAUUAGAUACCCAGGUAGUCCACGCUGUAAACGAUGAAUACUAGGUGUGGGGGGACUGACCCCCUCCGUGCCGCAGUUAACACAAUAAGUAUUCCACCUGGGGAGUACGAUCGCAAGAUUGAAACUCAAAUGAAUUGGCGGGG